GGCCUUAUGGUCCAGAGGUACGAUACUUGCUUUGGGUUUAACAAAUUGCAAGUGACCUGGGUUCGAUUCCCAGUGAGGCCC